ACACUGAUUACCUGUUGAUUGAACCAAAUUGGAAAUAUUAAUAUUAUGAUUCAGUGCUUUAUAGCGCUUGUAAAGUGUCUGUCUUAAAUAAGUAAUGACCUUCAGCAUAAGCAUCUACCAUAUUAUAAACGAAAUAAACCCUAAAACCUCCACGAAUAAGCUGUCAAUCGAUUCAAGCUCCAAUAACCACGUUUCAGUACGUACUUUUUUUGUGAACUUUCCAAACCGCCAGAGCAAUCGACAGGAACUACGUUAGCAAUAUUGGAAAAUAUAAAAUAUAUUUUUAUAUUUCUUAAAAAACUUAAAACUAAUCGAUCCAAACAGGGUUAGAUCGCCGAAAGGGCAGCCCUUGACCGGAUAAAAUCCGGGUCAACUCCGGUGCGUAGAACCGGCUGCUGUGGGAGUCGUGGGAGUCGUUUUUAUAUUU